rnacentral:rRNA from 1 species
UACGGAGGAUGCAAGCGUUAUCCGGAUUCAUUGGGUUUAAAGGGUGCGUAGGCGGACUAUUAAGUCAGUGGUGAAAGCCUGCAGCUUAACUGCAGAACUGCCAUUGAUACUGAUAGUCUUGAGUUUGGUUAAGGUAGGCGGAAUGUGUAAUGUAGCGGUGAAAUGCUUAGAUAUUACACAUAACACCAAUUGCGUAGGCAGCUUACUGAGCCGACACUGACGCUGAGGCACGAAAGCGUGGGGAUCGAACA